CACGUAGGGGGCGAGCGUUGUCCGGAUUUAUUGGGCGUAAAGAGCUCGUAGGCGGCUCAGUAAGUCGGGUGUGAAAACUCCAGGCUCAACCUGGAGACGCCACCUGAUACUGCUGUGGCUAGAGUCCGGUAGGGGAGCAUGGAAUUCCUGGUGUAGCGGUGAAAUGCGUAGAUAUCGGGAGGAACACCAGUGGCGAAGGCGACUUCCUGGCCUGUUCUUGACGCUGAGGCGCGAAAGCUAGGGGAGCAAACGGG
rnacentral:rRNA from 1 species